rnacentral:rRNA from 1 species
ACACGAGUGGCGCACGGGUGAGUAACGCGUACGCGANCUGCCCUCAAGAGGGAAUAGCCCUGGGAAACUGGGAUUAAUGUCCCAUGUGAUUGUAUUUCUAAGGGAUAUAAUUAAAGGAGCGAUCCGCUUGAGGAUGGGCGUGCGUGCUAUAAGCUAGUUGGUGAGGUAAUGGCUCACCAAGGCGACGAUAGCUAGGGGGCGUGAGAGCGUGACCCCCCACACGGUUACUGAGACACGGACCCGACUCCUACGGGAGGCAGCAGUAAGGAAUAUUGGACAUUGGGGGCAACCCUGAUCCAGCCAUCCCGCGUGCAGGAAGACGGCCCUAUGGGUUGUAAACUGCUUUUAUUAGGGAAGAAUAGCAUCAAUGAAUUGGUGUAUGACGGUACCUAAAGAAUAAAGCACCGGCUAACUCCGUGCCAGCAGCCGCGGUAAUACGGAGGGUGCAAGCGUUAUCCGGAAUCACUGGGUUUAAAGGGUGCGUAGGUGGAAUAAUAAGUCAGGCGUGAAAGGUUACAGCUUAACUGUAGACUUGCGUUUGAUACUGUUAUUCUUGAAUUACGAUGAGGUUGGCAGAAUGCGACAUGUAGCGGUGAAAUGCCUAGAUAUGUCGUAGAAUACCGAUUGCGAAGGCAGUCAACCGGACUUAAAUUGACACUGAGGCACGAAAGCGUG